rnacentral:rRNA from 1 species
ACUCCUACGGGAGGCAGCAGUGGGGAAUAUUGCACAAUGGGCGCAAGCCUGAUGCAGCCAUGCCGCGUGUAUGAAGAAGGCCUUCGGGUUGUAAAGUACUUUCAGCAGUGAGGAAGGUGGAUAUGUUAAUAGCAUAUUCAUUUGACGUUAGCUGCAGAAGAAGCACCGGCUAACUCCGUGCCAGCAGCCGCGGUAAUACGGAGGGUGCGAGCGUUAAUCGGAAUUACUGGGCGUAAAGCGCAUGCAGGUGGUUUGUUAAGUCAGAUGUGAAAGCCCGGGGCUCAACCUCGGAAUUGCAUUUGAAACUGGCAAACUAGAGUACUGUAGAGGGGGGUAGAAUUUCAGGUGUAGCGGUGAAAUGCGUAGAGAUCUGAAGGAAUACCGGUGGCGAAGGCGGCCCCCUGGACAGAUACUGACACUCAGAUGCGAAAGCGUGGGGAGCAAACAGGAUUAGAUACCCUGGUAAGCUCAGCUAGUCGUAGAGGAC